UUCCAAUUUUAGUGUAUGUGCUGUCAAAAUGAGAUUAGCAUGGUCCCUGCACAAGGAUGACCUGCAAAUCUGAAACAGUCCAUAUUUUU
rnacentral:snRNA from 1 species